rnacentral:rRNA from 1 species
UACGUAGGGUGCAAGCGCUGUCCGGAAUUAUUGGGCGUAAAGAGCUUGUAGGCGGUUUGUCGCGUCUGCUGUGAAAUUUCGGGGCUCAACCCCGAACUUGCAGUGGGUACGGGCAGACUAGAGUGUGGUAGGGGAGACUGGAAUUCCUGGUGUAGCGGUGAAAUGCGCAGAUAUCAGGAGGAACACCGAUGGCGAAGGCAGGUCUCUGGGCCAUAACUGACGCUGAGAAGCGAAAGCAUGGGGAGCGAACAGG